AAAUAACAUCGUUGUAUAGUUAAUUACCGCGGCAAUUAAGAUUAUUCAUAUUGCCCCUUAACUUUGCUUUCUGCAAGGCCAUCGACCAUGUCAGGGCUGCUGAAGUGACAAACAGCAGUGGGUGUCAACCACAGAGGGGAAAAAAAAGCACUGAACAUAUUGCAACACUGCCUUUGGCACAAGAGAAAGACAGAAGUGCCAAGGUUUAGCCUUUUUAUUUUCACAGAAUAAAAUCAGAAAUAAACAGGUGCAAUCUCCUAACCAGAGGCAAAUCCACUCCAGAUAAAGGCUGAUGAUCUCUCUUUACGUGUAGGGAUGUUUUAUAGACAAAACCAGCUCAGAUUAGAAUUGGGAAGCAGAUAUAAACAGUCCAAAGAGUAUUCCAGCAGAAAAAGUUGCCAAGGGAGAAGGAAGAGCAGGAAAACCUUAAAAACACAUAACAAAUGACUCUGCACAUGGAAGACCAAGGUGGAGUGAAGGUUUUCUAAGGCAGUCAUUUUACUUGAUUGGGAAGAACUUUCAGACCACCAGCCAAAGUUUAAUUUGUGACCUGGCAAUGCCCAGCCCCAGUGUACAGCCCCGAGUAGCUGCUCCCGUGGUGCUGCACCGGGCCAUCCCUUCCCUCAGCACCUGCACCUUGCAGGAGCACCAGCAUCAGCCACAUGAGAGAAAAGGCAAGAAAUAAGAAUAUUAAAACUAUCCAGCUAAACUGUGACAUUGCUCAACUCCAAAACCAUCACGCUGCAUAAGGCUAAAAAAACCCUAAUUUAAUGCCAUGUUUUGGGUGGUGUUUAAUGCAGUAAAAGUCACUCAAAUAGCUGUGCCUCCCGAAAUCAGGAGGUCGGGCACACUGUCCGCACGGGCUGGCAAUGCCAUCUGCUGGCACAGCUGCACACACGCAGGAAAGCGAACUGCUGGGGCAGGGAGCGCCGCUGAUGCUCCUGCAGAGACAAUUAUCUAAUCAAGGGGCAAUUAAAUGGUGCGUAACGAAGCCUGCACCGGGGAUGAUGCUGCGAGGAUGUCCAGGCAGCUGCCAACACAACUAUGAAGCCACAGUGAGCUGGAAACGCAGAUUAGACACUUCAAACGUGCAAAUUGUCUUUUAAAAAAGUCUUUUUUGUAUUAGGCACUUACCUGUAACACGGUGGCAAACAGUGAGCUGGAAACGCAGAUUAGACACUUCAAACGUGCAAAUUGUCUUUUAAAAAAGUCUUUUUUGUAUUAGGCACUUACCUGUAACACGGUGGCAAACCAAGAUAUUUACAUUUUAUCACAUUAAGCAGAGAAUGAAGUUCAGUGAGAUAAAGAUUUAGCAGUUGGUCUAAGAACAAAACUUGUGGGGAAAAAAAUUACUCACAGGAUCAGAGAGUAGCUUGUGCUGGAUGAGAUAUUGCAGCCAGUCUCACUCAGAGUGGAACAGCUCCCACUGGCCCAGGUGCUCCCAGCCCUGUCCAGCCUGGCCUUGGGCACUGCCAGGGAUCCAGGGAUCCCCUCUCCCAGGGAAGUUUCUUCUCAGUGUCCCACCCAAACCUGCCCUCCUUGUAGAUCGAGAGCUGGAAUAACAUCCCUUGUUUGUGUCUUUGCCUCUGCACUCACAUUGUAAUGAGUGGAUGAAAAAGAGGGGGGAAUUUUGCUUUCUGAGUACCAAUUUUAUGGUGCAUGGGUGGAUUUUGCUGAGAAUAGAAAAGUGAAUUUGUUUUCCAGAAUUUGGUAAAUGAAUCGGGCUCCCCUGCUUUUAUAAAGUUCUCUUCCACUUCCACAGGCUUCACAUUACAAGAGCUGAGCAUACUUGGAGAUCAGAGGCUACUACCUGGUGUAGAUCAAACUGAAAAAAAGUCAGGCAAAGUACAAGUGAGUCAAAGAGGACUUUCUGCCCUUUAUUACCUUCUGGACAAGCAUGGCUGAUGCCCCAUCAUCAAAACAGUUAAACUGCAACAAAACAGGAGAAAACAUGGUUCUGGUCCACAAGAUCCAAACUUCAAGAGGAAAACAAAGCUAUGGAUAGUCACAUUUUACAGGCAUAAUUAGAGCAAACACUUGGAAAAAUAAAGUCAGCAGAAAGUGAUUUGUCAACCAGUUACAGUUUUAAUAUAAAAAGUUUUAGUCCAGUCAUAAGCUUAAUUGUUCAAAUGAAAAUGAGUAGUGGAACUGAAAUCUUGAACAAGAUGAUUCUGUUUCAACAUCAAGCUUUUUGGGUGACAAGCAGAGUCAGAACACACCUGCCCACACCCACGGCUGCCAAAACCUGGGUGUGUGCUUGCUGCCAAGCACCACCAGACACUGGAUUUCCUGAGGCUUAUCUUCUGUGAUGUCACAGCAGCUGCAGCCUGGGGGGAGCUGAGCUGGUUUUGGCUAACUGUACACACAGGUGUAGCUAUGUACAACAAGGAUUCAGUGAGGACAGUGACUGAAAUGCCUUCUCACUCUUUGUGGACACUCCUGGACUCUCCCACCAGUGGAGAAUUUUGCACACAGUGUAUUAUCACAUCACAGCUGCAGACAUAGAUAUUUAGAUUUUGAUGGUGUAAGUUUAGCACCUCUCAGGAGUACUAAAUUCAAGCUAAAACGUCCUAAAAGUUGUAUAAAGAAAAUACUGAUAACCGUCACAAUUUUCCUGAAAAAAAAA